rnacentral:misc_RNA from 1 species
UGGCAUUUGGCGGUAACCCCUCUUCCUGACCUCCCUUCUCGUUUUUUCAUCGCCAUUCACCCGCGUCGUUGCUUCUCACCCUGCAUCCUCGUCGACGCGUCGCGCAGAACCGUUCGCGUAGCGCGCCUCACUCCUCCGUGCAUCCUUCCCUUCGGUUUAUCGGUGCGCACCAGCCCAGCCCAGCGCAGCCCCGCCCCGCCUUCGGACGCGCGCAUCUAUCUGCGGGACGGGCCGCCGUGAGCUGAGCAGACCACCAUGCACAGUGCUGUCACUUGCAUCAAGAGCCCGGGCGCGGCUCUCUUCACCGACACUGCCACCUGCCGCACCAUCACGUUGAGCCGGCCCGAUGCGUUGAACGCCAUGUCGUUGCCGAUGGUGCAGGACCUGCAUCGCCUGUACAUCACAGAGCCGCACCCGAACGAGGAUGCCGUGUACGUUGUGCGCGGUGACGGGCGGCGCAGCUUCUGUGCUGGUGGCGACCUGAAGGCCCUCACAGGACCCGAGAAAGACACGCACAACCCGCUGUUCUACCGCCUGGAGUACGAGGUGGACUCGCACAUUGCGGUGAUGCGGCGCACGCAGGUGACGAUGUGGGCGGGGCACGUGCUGGGGAGCGGCGUGGGCGUGUCGGUGCACAGCCGUUACCGCGUUGCGUGCGAGACGACGCGGUUCGCGAUGCCGGAGACGCAGAUCGGCGGCGCGAACGACGUUGCGACGAGCUGGGUGUUCUCGUCGCUGCCGAUAUGCGGGCUUGGCAUGUACCUUGCGAUCACGGGCAACACGCUGCAAGGCGCGGACGUGUUCCACGCGGGCCUGGCGACGCACUACAUCCCUGUGGAGAAGUUCGGCGCUGUGGAGGCUGCGCUGGCGGCGCUGCCGUCGUCGGAGGGCGUCGAGGAGUGCCUCCGAGGGUUCAGCGAGGACGUUGCUGUGCCGCCGUUCACGCUGGCGGAGAACGCGCCUGUGCUGGCGAAGGCGUUCGGCGCGAUCACUCCGUCGACGCACCUGCGCGACAUCAUGGAUGUGCUGCGCGCGGACGGCAGCGCGUUCGCUGCGAGCACGCUGAAGGUGAUGGAGCGCAACUCGCCGCUGGGCAUGACGCUUGCGCUGGAGAACAUGAAGCGGCAGCACACACCUGGGUGCAACACCGUGAUGGAGAGCUUCCGUGGCGACUACACGGCGAUUCAGACUUCCAUUUGUGUGGAUGAGCUGGCGAAGGGCGUGGAGGCGCUGUUUGUCACGAAGGAGAAGCGCCCGCAGUGGACGGUGGGGUCCGUGGACGAAGUCGAUGUGGAGCUCGUGAAGCAGCAGUUUGUUAUGACGGAGAGCACGGUGCCCUUGUAGGAAAGGCUCGUCUCACAUAUUCGCGGCUCUGUAGGCGUCGACCUUUCUUUGCCACGAGUGCUGUGCCGGCGCCUUGAUGCCGCAUUGUGCGUGUACACGUGUGGAGUGUGACUGUGGGCGUGUUGGCACUGCAGAAGGUAAAGGACGGUCUUGCUUACGGGGGACCUGCGGCCGGCUCGGCGUGUGCGUUUCCGUUUCAGCUUGCGGGCGCGAGGCCGCGGUUGUGGGGUGUUCACACGCUACCUCUUCUGUGCUUUUUUUUUUCGUAUUCGGUGCAUAUGGGCUAAGCCACCUCCGCACAGUCUACAGCUUAGUGUGUGUAUGCGCUUGGUUUUGUUUUCACGUCUUCGAGUUUAUUGGAUCGGUUGUGGCUGGGCUCUUGUUUCCGGAGAGGAUGCCCUCGCCGAGGGUUAAGGGCACCGCUUCCCACAGAGGGAUGAUGUGCGUCUCAUUUUUGUUCACCGGCUUCCGCUUGGCCUCUUCUGCGCUGUCGCUCACUUCCGCACCCUCUCCCCCAUCUCUCCUGUCCUCCUGCACCCUCCAGUUAUGCUUCGCGUGCGCGCACUGCGGUAGAGUGUGAAGGGUACGCGCAUGCGUGCGAGCCGAAGAGCUGGAGGGAAGGGGGAGCAAGUGAGAAGGAUGGCAGAUGAAGUGGGUAGGGCGCGAGGCGAGGAGUGCUAAGCGUCCAGGCGUCCUUUGUUUUUGUUUUUUACUUUGUGCUUGUGCUUUUCUUCUUUCCGCUAGGGCAUUCAUCCGCUAUACUUCUCCGCGUCAGACGCCGCCCUCGCCUUCUUUUCGUGUUUUGGAAUGCAGUCACGGACAUCUGCAUGCCACACAUCUCCGCGCGCACGAGCGCGCGCACAUAUAAAAUGAUCCGCACGACUGCUGGCGUGCAGGCUUGCGGUGUACUCUUUUCUCUCCGCCUUUUCUCAGGUCUUCCCCUCUUCCCCUCUUCCUGUCUUGCCUUCGAUGCAUCUUUCUCUUUUUGGGCCUCUCGUUUUAACUUGCUCUCGUUGUCUUUAUAUUUGUUUCUCUCCCCGGCUACUCCCCCUCUCGCUCCCUUGCUCGCACGGCGUCGAUGUCCUGGUGCCGUGGUGUGGCAGGUGGCCACGCCUGUUCAUCGGCCUCAGCAAAUAGCUUCCUCGCCUAUCCCUAGUUUUCCCCAUCUCGCUAUCCACGGCAGAACCACCACCUCCCUCCCCCUUACCGAUGUCUGCGGCGGUGGAGAGGUGGUAAAAUGAGGGGCAAAAAGGCAGAACAACAAAUGCGUACGUGGCACAAGGAUGAUGAUGUGGUGGUGGGUCUCGCACCGCGAGUGCAGCGCUGCGUCUCUCUCUCUCUGAAGCUUUUUAACCGACUUUUUCCUGUCACUUUUACGUCUUGUACUCUCUCGUUGUGCACGCAG